AUUGAACGCUGGCGGCAUGCUUUACACAUGCAAGUCGAGCGGCAGCGCGGGCUUCGGCCUGGCGGCGAGUGGCGAACGGGUGAGUAAUACAUCGGAACGUGCCCAGUAGUGGGGGAUAGCUCGGCGAAAGCCGGAUUAAUACCGCAUACGACCUGAGGGUGAAAGCGGGGGAUCUUCGGACCUCGCGCUAUUGGAGCGGCCGAUGGCAGAUUAGCUAGUUGGUGGGGUAAAGGCCUACCAAGGCGACGAUCUGUAGCUGGUCUGAGAGGACGACCAGCCACACUGGGACUGAGACACGGCCCAGACUCCUACGGGAGGCAGCAGUGGGGAAUUUUGGACAAUGGGCGAAAGCCUGAUCCAGCAAUGCCGCGUGUGUGAUGAAGGCCUUCGGGUUGUAAAGCACUUUUGGCGGGAACGAAGAGGACUGUGCCAAUACCACGGUUCGAUGACGGUACCCGCAGAAUAAGCACCGGCUAACUACGUG
rnacentral:rRNA from 1 species